rnacentral:rRNA from 1 species
GACGAACGCUGGCGGCGUGCUUAACACAUGCAAGUCGAACGGAAAGGCCCUGCUUUUGUGGGGUGCUCGAGUGGCGAACGGGUGAGUAACACGUGAGUAACCUGCCCUUUACUUUGGGAUAACUUCCGGAAACUGGGGCUAAUACCGGAUAGGAGCUCCUGCUGCAUGGUGGGGGUUGGAAAGUUUCGGCGGUUGGGGAUGGACUCGCGGCUUAGCAGCUUGUUGGUGGGGGAGUGGCUUACCAAGGCUUUGACGGGUAGCCGGCCUUAGAGGGUGACCGGCCACAUUGGGACUGAGAUACGGCCCAGACUCCUACAGGAGGCAGCGGUGGGGAGUAUGGCACAGUGGGCGGAAGCCUGAUGCAGAAGCGCCGCGUGCGGGAUGACGGCCUUCGGGUUGAAAACCGCUUUCGCCUGUGACGAAGCGGGAGUGACGGUAAUGGGUAAAGAAGCACCGGCUAACUACGUG